rnacentral:misc_RNA from 1 species
UUUCUUUUGAAGCUCCAAAUGAAACUCUUCGAGAAUGUUGCACACAGUUAUUUGUAGCAUGUGUAUGGAAUCCAUCAGGCGUAGAAUCAGGAGUCCUUUCAAGACACGGAGAAUUGUCAUUGGAACCAGACUUAACAUUAUUGUUAGGAGUAUUUGAGGCAUCAUGCCCCACUUGCUUUGUCCUUCUGGGGAAUGAUGGCCGUCUACUAAAGUUUGGAGGUGUUCGCAGUCUUUGCUUUGCAGGAAUUCCAUCUUCAGCAACAUGCUUUGAAGGAGCAGGCGAGGAGAUACCCUCAUGUCUAGGUUUAGUCCUGGGACUGGAAUCGAUGACAGGUAACUGAUGCUUUAGAGCAGGCAGUCCAUGAUUCCUUUUGGUGGAAUCAGAUCCAGCCUUUGUUGAUCCGGGAGAUGGCAUCUCUGCAUUGGGUUUAGAAGGAGCAACUGAACUUGGUUUUGGGACCUUUGGUGGUGCUUCAGCGUUAGCUUUCUGUGCACCAAUCUUCGGUCGGUUGCCCCUCAUUGGGGAACUAUGCUCUCUCAUUUUUCCUUCUUUCACAGCCAGCAUAAUAUUUUUUAUUGCUCUAGGUUGCUUAGCUUCUGCAUCACAUCUCCUCUCAUCAUCAAUAAUGUUCUUAAAUUCAAAGUCAUCUGUAUCUUCAGGAAAAGCAUCAUCUCCAGUAUCUUCGUCAAAGGAAUGAAGUUGCCUAAAGUCAAUAUCAUCGUCAACAAAUGCCACAUCAACAUCAGUGCCCCUGUAAUCAUAAUUGGAAGCCCUGCUUUGGAUGUUUUUCUCCUUUGACUUCAAACUAUCUUUAUCACUACAGGAACUUGUACUACUUUGGCUUUCUGCCAUAUUCUUUCUUGAGUCGCGGCCAGUAGUGAGAGGUUUUUCAGGAUAGUUUCCUACAUGAGUUAUAAAGGAUGGUCGGUAUUGCUCUAGAUACGGCCGCAAAUAGGGGUGCUUCAGGAGCUCGGAAGCACUGGGACGAUGCUCAGGAUUCUUUCUUAGCAUGCCUUUAAUAAGUGUUUUCAAGGAUGGAGAAUAACAUGAUGGAAGAGGCCCAAUGGAUGAUCUGUUAAUCUUGCUUAUCAAUCCCGCCAUGUCAAAUGCUUUAAAUGCAGGUCGAUAAGCAGCCAUUUCAUACAUACAGCAACCUAGGGACCAAAUAUCUGAUUUAAAACCAUAAGGAAUGUCAGCAAGAAGUUCAGGGCACAUGUAAUUGGGCGUUCCAACUACUGAAGAAGCCAAG